rnacentral:rRNA from 1 species
CCUACGGGCGGCAGCAGUGGGGAAUAUUGGACAAUGGGGGGAACCCUGAUCCAGCGACGCCGCGUGAGUGAAGAAGUAUUUCGGUAUGUAAAGCUCUUUCUGCAGGGAAGAAAAUGACGGUACCUGACUAAGAUGCCCCGGCUAACUACGUUCCAGCAGCCGCGGUAAUAUGUAGGGUGCAAGCGUUAUCCGGAUUUACUGGGUGUAAAGGGAGCGUAGGCGGUUUAGCAAGUCAGAAGUGAAAGUCCGGGGCUCAACUCCGGGACUGCUUUUGAAACUGUUGAACUAGAGUGCAGGAGAGGUAAGCGGAAUUCCUAGUGUAGCGGUGAAAUGCGUAGAUAUUAGGAAGAACACCAGUGGCGAAGGCAGCUUACUGGACUGUAAAUGACGCUGAGGCUCGAAAGCGUGGGGAGCAAACAGGAUUAGAUACCCUAGUAGUC